rnacentral:rRNA from 1 species
UACGGGAGGCAGCAGUGGGGAAUAUUGCACAAUGGGCGCAAGCCUGAUGCAGCCAUGCCGCGUGUAUGAAGAAGGCCUUCGGGUUGUAAAGUACUUUCAGCGGGGAGGAAGGCGGUGAAGUUAAUAGCUUCACCGAUUGACGUUACCCGCAGAAGAAGCACCGGCUAACUCCGUGCCAGCAGCCGCGGUAAUACGGAGGGUGCAAGCGUUAAUCGGAAUUACUGGGCGUAAAGCGCACGCAGGCGGUCUGUCAAGUCGGAUGUGAAAUCCCCGGGCUUAACCUGGGAACUGCAUUCGAAACUGGCAGGCUAGAGUCUUGUAGAGGGGGUAGAAUUCCAGGUGUAGCGGUGAAAUGCGUAGAGAUCUGGAGGAAUCCGGUGGCGAAGGCGGCCCCUGGGACAAGACUGACGCUCAGGUGCGAAAGCGUGGGGAGCAAACGAGGAUUAGGAUACC